rnacentral:rRNA from 2 species
AGCGGAGGAAAAGAAACCAACAGGGAUUGCCUCAGUAACGGCGAGUGAAGCGGCAAAAGCUCAAAUUUGAAAUCCCCCGGGAAUUGUAAUUUGAAGAGAUUUGGGUCCGGCCGGCGGGGGGUUAAGUCCACUGGAAAGUGGCGCCACAAAGGGUGACAGCCCCGUGAACCCCUUUAAAGCCCUCAUCCCAAAUCUCCAAAAGUCAAGUUGUUUGGGAAUGCAGCUCUAAGUGGGUGGUAAAUUCCAUCUAAAGCUAAAUACCGGCAAGAGACCGAUAGCGAACAAUUACAGUGAUGGAAAGAUGAAAAGCACUUUGAAAAGAAAGUGAAAAAGUACGUGAAAUUGUUGAAAGGGAAGGGCUUGCAAGCAAACACUUAACUGGGCCAGCAUCGGGGCGGCGGGAAACAAAACCACCGGGGAAUGUACCUUUCAAGGAUUAUAACCCCGGUCUCUAUUUCCAUGUUGCCCCGAGGCCUGCAUUCUAAGGAUGCUGGCGUAAUGGUUGCAAGUCGCCCGUCUUGA